rnacentral:rRNA from 1 species
GACGAACGCUGGCGGCGCGCCUAACACAUGCAAGUCGAACGGAGAAGUUAGCAAUAACUUUUUAGUGGCGAACGGGUGAGUAACGCGUAGACAACCAACCUUACAGCGGGGGACAACACUUCGAAAGGAGUGCUAAUACCGCAUACGCUCCUGUGUUCGCAUGGAUGGAGGAGGAAAGGAGCCGCAAGGCUUCACUGUAAGACGGGUCUGCGUCUGAUUAGCUAGUUGGCGGGGUAACGGCCCACCAAGGCGACGAUCAGUAGCCGGUCUGAGAGGAUGAACGGCCACACUGGGACUGAGACACGGCCCAGACUCCUACGGGAGGCAGCAGUGGGGAAUCUUCCGCAAUGGACGAAAGUCUGACGGAGCGACGCCGCGUGAGUGAUGAAGGCCCUUGGGUCGUAAAGCUCUGUCAUUAGGGACGAACGACCGCCUCAGGAAAUGGGGCGGAGUGACGGUACCCAAGAAGGAAGCCACGGCUAACUACGUGCCAGCAGCCGCGGUAAAGAGU